GUGAUUUUUUGUUUCAACUUGGUCAUCUCCCCAGUCACUUUGAAAAGGAAGGAAAAAUGUCUGCAUUAGAUAAGAGUGAAAGAGCAGCUCAGCCUCACAGGGAGAAUGCGUCAUUCCUGAAGGAUACACGUUGUCUGGAUCCCAUCAGACAUUUCAGCAGAUAUAUCAAUAUUUGUGACUGGUUUGCUGCUGAAACUAGCUACUUCUGGGCAGCUGGUCCAAAACAGAACGUGUGCCAUCGUAGCCUACCCACUGAAUUUCUGCCCACAUCAUACAUGUAAGUUAAUCAUCCUGGUCCUGGUUGUGUGAGCAUCACUUACACCAUCCCCUAACUUGGUCGCUCACAUGGACUUGAACAAUGUGCGAAGGGAAGCCACAUUUUGAGGACACAAUAGCUACUGACAGCAGACUGCAAGCAGUACACUGAUUGAUCUUUUCAGCACUUGCAACACUCAUAGCAGCAUAAAACUUAAGCAGGCCACAUGCUUCAACCGUAUAUACAGUGUAUGCAGGAUGUUGUGUGCUUGAUCCCAGCCUGGCACACAGUGGAUUUUUUCCUCAGGGAAGCAAUAUUUAGUGUUAAUAAAGUUAUGUUGCAGGAAAGAAAUCACAAGCUCACUUCAUAUUGCAAUUUCCUCAUUCAAUACAUCUUACCUCCUUGAAAACUGAAGUAGUUGAUUUUAAAGAAUGAAGAUUUUAGGAGGCGUUCUUUAAUCACUGAUAUUAAUGCCAGAGUCCAAAAGUCAAGUAUCAUGAUGACUAGUGCACAUUACACAUUUCAUAUGUGUCACAUGAUGUUGUACAUGAGUACCUGCAUAAUCUUUAAGAACUCUGCUCUAUUCCACAUUUUUGGGGAUACCACUGCCCUCAGUUAUGCCAUCUACAUGUACAUAAGAGCCUUUUGUCAAUAUGGACAAAUUCAACUAAUAACGAAAGGCGUCUUACAGGAUGUUUUAAUGAAACCUCAAUUUUAUUUGACAAAUUGAUAGAGACAACUUUGAAGCUAUUAUAUAAUAAAUGAGGUGCUUGAAAAAAUAUGUUUGUAUGUGUACAUUGUACAUCUGUAUAUUUACAUUUUGUAAUUCGGAAUUUUGGGGGAUUUGGUCAUUUACAAACCAAUUUGAGUAAUGUUUAGAAGUGUUUGCUUGCUCCUCUCACCAAGGGAAGCCAGAAACCCGUCUUUAAUAUUCUGCCUGAAAAUUUAACAAGCUGAUGCAUUUUGUUACUUUUUCCCCCAAAACAAUUCUGACUGUAUAAAAUCAGCUUAUAAAGAUCCUAUUAGUACAUGUAUUACAUACAGUUUAUGAAGUAUGGCAUGUACAUGUACAAAGUCAGUGGGAAAAUUAAGCUAUGGGCCUUCAUGUUUCCCACACAUUUUUCUAAUAUAACACGAUGUCCCUUAAAUUUAAAUCUUGUAGAAAAACACAAUUUUGCUCAUACAUAUAGCCUUAGCAUUGAAAUUUUUUUUUAACGACUUGAACUUGAAUGUGAACCGGGGAACAUGUACUUUUUUUUCCCUUGAAAAAUCCGACAACCCCACCAGAUGAGUAUUUACAACUCUGAAAAUUGCUUUACGAGUCAGAAAAAAAAGUUUUGCUGGAUUAAGCCAACCAGACCUGGUAGUGUCUGGCUGAGAGUACUCGAUCAUGUUUGCCGAUUGUCACGAUCAUGAGAAAAGAAUACAUGCACAGCUUUCCCUGUCUAAAGGCUCCCUAAUUGUUGAUAAUGCUCACGUUAGUAUACUUAUGAUUAUC
rnacentral:misc_RNA from 1 species